UACGAAGGGGGCUAGCGUUGCUCGGAAUCACUGGGCGUAAAGGGUGCGUAGGCGGGCCUUUAAGUCAGGGGUGAAAUCCUGGAGCUCAACUCCAGAACUGCCUUUGAUACUGAGGAUCUUGAGUUCGGGAGAGGUGAGUGGAACUGCGAGUGUAGAGGUGAAAUUCGUAGAUAUUCGCAAGAACACCAGUGGCGAAGGCGGCUCACUGGCCCGAUACUGACGCUGAGGCACGAAAGCGUGGGGAGCAGACAGG
rnacentral:rRNA from 1 species